rnacentral:rRNA from 1 species
AGUACGUGAAACUGCUUAGAGAUUAAACCCGAUGAACCUGAAAUUCCUAAAGUGGAGAAUUCAAUAUUAAAGUUGUUAUAUGUAAAAAUAUUUCGACGAUAGUAUGCAAUUUUUCCAUUGUGGACAUUGUAAUCUGUUAGUGUAUCAAAAUUAUCAAAAAAUCUUAUACUUAUGUUUAUUUUUUACGAUUAUCUUAGGAUUUUCGGAAGAAAAUAAUUGUUAAAGAUUAGAUAAAACACUGACAGAUAUAAUUAUAUAAUAUGCUUAAAUCUUUUCGGAGAUUUUACUAAGGUAAAUGGAUCUUAUGAUUUAUUUAUACGAAGUAGGCACUAUUUAUGAUUUACAAUGCGAUAGAUUCAGGAUACCUUCGGGACCCGUCUUGAAACACGGACCAAGGAGUCUAACAUAUGUGCAAGUCAUUGGGUAUUUUUAAUAAAACCCAAUGGCAUAAUUAACUUAACUUUAUAAUGGGAUUAGUUUAUAAUUUGUCAUGAAUUAUUUAUUCAAUCCCGGGGCGUUCUAUACAGUUAUGCAUAAUGGUAUUUAUAUUAUUUAUGCCUCUAACUAGAGCGUACCUUGAGCAUAUAUGCUGUGACCCGAAA